UACGAAGGGGGCUAGCGUUGCUCGGAAUUACUGGGCGUAAAGCGCACGUAGGCGGAUCUUUAAGUCAGGGGUGAAAUCCUGGAGCUCAACUCCAGAACUGCCUUUGAUACUGAGGACCUUGAGUUCGGGAGAGGUGAGUGGAACUGCGAGUGUAGAGGUGAAAUUCGUAGAUAUUCGCAAGAACACCAGUGGCGAAGGCGGCUCACUGGCCCGAUACUGACGCUGAGGCACGAAAGCUAGGGGAGCAAACAGG
rnacentral:rRNA from 1 species